rnacentral:tRNA from 1 species
AAAAAUAAAGCGAUAUUAAAUUGCAAUCAGUUUCGACCUGAUCUUAGAUGGACUCUAUUUUUU